GGAUCAUUACACAAUAACAUAUGAAGGCUGUACGCUGCUGCGCCUCCGGGCCAGCUGGCUGAGGCUGGAUUAUUUAUUACCCUUGUCUUUUGCGCACUUGUUGUUUCCUGGGCGGGUUCGCCCGCCUCCAGGACCACACCAUAAACCUUUUUUAUGCAGUUGCAAUCAGCGUCAGUACAACAAAUGUAAAUCAUUUACAACUUUCAACAACGGAUCUCUUGGUUCUGGCAUCGAUGAAGAACGCAGCGAAAUGCGAUACGUAGUGUGAAUUGCAGAAUUCAGUGAAUCAUCGAAUCUUUGAACGCACAUUGCGCCCUUUGGUAUUCCAAAGGGCAUGCCUGUUCGAGCGUCAUUUGUACCCUCAAGCUUUGCUUGGUGUUGGGCGUUUUUGUCUUUGGUUUGCCAAAGACUCGCCUUAAAACGAUUGGCAGCCGGCCUCCUGGUUACGCAGCGCAGCACAUUUUUGCGCUUGCAAUCAGCAAGAGGGCGGCACUCCAUCAAGACUCCUUCUCACGUUUGACCUCGGAUCAGGUAGGGAUACCCGCUGAACUUAAGCAUAUCAAUAAGCGGAGGAAAAGAAACCAACAGGGAUUGCCCUAGUAACGGCGAGUGAAGCGGCAACAGCUCAAAUUUGAAAUCUGGCUCUUUUAGGGUCCGAGUUGUAAUUUGCAGAGGGCGCUUUGGCUUUGGCAGCGGUCCAAGUUCCUUGGAACAGGACGUCACAGAGGGUGAGAAUCCCGUACGUGGUCGCUAGCUAUUGCCGUGUAAAGCCCCUUCGACGAGUCGAGUUGUUUGGGAAUGCAGCUCUAAAUGGGAGGUAAAUUUCUUCUAAAGCUAAAUAUUGGCCAGAGACCGAUAGCGCACAAGUAGAGUGAUCGAAAGAUGAAAAGCACUUUGGAAAGAGAGUCAAACAGCACGUGAAAUUGUUGAAAGGGAAGCGCUUGCAGCCAGACUUGCUUGCAGUUGCUCAUCCGGGCUUUUGCCCGGUGCACUCUUCUGUAGGCAGGCCAGCAUCAGUUUGGGCGGUGGGAUAAAGGUCUCUGACACGUUCCUUCCUUCGGGUUGGCCAUAUAGGGGAGACGUCAUACCACCAGCCUGGACUGAGGUCCGCG
rnacentral:rRNA from 1 species